rnacentral:rRNA from 1 species
CCUACGGGCGGCUGCAGUGGGGAAUAUUGGACAAUGGGGGCAACCCUGAUCCAGCCAUGCCGCGUGUGUGAAGAAGGCCCUCGGGUUGUAAAGCACUUUCAGUGAGGAAGAACGCCUGGUGGUUAAUACCCAUCAGGAAAGACAUCACUCACAGAUGAAGCACCGGCUAACUCCGUGCCAGCAGCCGCGGUAAUACGGAGGGUGCGAGCGUUAAUCGGAAUUACUGGGCGUAAAGCGCGCUUAGGUGGCUUGAUAAGCCGGUUGUGAAAGCCCCGGGCUCAACCUGGGAACGGCAUCCGGAACUGUCAAGCUAGAGUGCAGGAGAGGAAGGUAGAAUUCCCGGUGUAGCGGUGAAAUGCGUAGAGAUCGGGAGGAAUACCAGUGGCGAAGGCGGCCUUCUGGACUGACACUGACACUGAGGUGCGAAAGCGUGGGUAGCAAACAGGAUUAGAUACCCUGGUAGUC